AUUUAUUUUACAAAGUGCUUGAGGUGCAUAUCGGUUAUUUAUUGACCAAUUGGAGAGUUCUAAGCACUCAUUUUUCUAGUUCUUUUCUCCCUUUUUUGCUUCAACCACUGAGAUUGAAAAACACCGGAAAAUGGCUUCUACAAGCACAGCAGCUCCUGGUUCCUCUGACUCCAGACCUACAAGAAGAACCACCACGUGUAAUGCUAUAUCCAACUCUCACUGCCAAUGCAGAUAUGCACAAUAGAGAACUAAACAAACAGCUACUUUUAGGUAUUACAUGUGGUGUUUCUUCUUGUAGGUCUGGAGCAAAAGAACAUCGAGGCAUUACAUGUAAUGCAGAUAUGCCAAUUUAUGCUUACACUUACCCAUAAUUUAUUCUUGUGUCUAUUAGGUUGUUGAAAUUGUGUAUGGCUACGAGUCGGAUUGCUUGAGUAAUAUUUCAGACAAGCUAGUCUACAUCCAGAAUCCCACGACGGAUUGGUGGGAAGAAUGACUUGAUUGGCAUACUAUUUCUCACAGUUGGAGGACUAUGUUUAUUUUUGUCAUUGUUUUUUACCAUUGGGUAUUUUGUGAAGCCAAGGCAACUUGGAAAUCCAUCUCAUUUGUCUUGGAAUAGGAAACAAGCUUGAGCCACCUUCUAAAGCAGUCAUAAAAAAAAUCAACAUUGAAAUGUGAUGUAUGAUAAGUAGUAUCCUAAAAUUAGGAAGUUAUCUUCAGAGGUGCAUUCAAGCUGCUCCUCUUUCUAAGGAUUUCGGCUAAAAUUAAUUCCAAGGUUGAUGAUGUUUUCUUUUAAUAAUAUGCUCUUUACAAUAUCUACGUACCCUUAUAAAUUGUGGCUCCUAGAUGAAAAAGACAUGCAAUUUAUUAGCUCUCAGAUAA